GAGUUUGAUCAUGGCUCAGGAUGAACGCUGGCGGCGUGCUUAACACAUGCAAGUCGAACGAACCUUCGGGUUAGUGGCGGACGGGUGAGUAACGCGUGAGAAUCUGCCCUCAGGAGGGGGACAACAGCUGGAAACGGCUGCUAAUACCCCAUAUGCCGCGAGGUGAAAUGAAUUUCGCCUGAGGAUGAGCUCGCGUCUGAUUAGCUAGUUGGUGUAGGUAAUGGCUCACCAAGGCAUCGAUCAGUAGCUGGUCUGAGAGGAUGAUCAGCCACACUGGGACUGAGACACGGCCCAGACUCCUACGGGAGGCAGCAGUGGGGAAUUUUCCGCAAUGGGCGAAAGCCUGACGGAGCAACGCCGCGUGAGGGAUGAAGGCCUCUGGGCUGUAAACCUCUUUUAUCAAGGAAGAAGAUCUGACGGUACUUGAUGAAUAAGCCACGGCUAAUUCCGUGCCAGCAGCCGCGGUAAUACGGGAGUGGCAAGCGUUAUCCGGAAUUAUUGGGCGUAAAGCGUCCGCAGGCGGCCCUUCAAGUCCGCUGUUAAAAAGUGGAGCUUAACUCCAUCAUGGCAGUGAAAACUGUUGGGCUUGAGUGUGGUAGGGGCAGAGGGAAUUCCCGGUGUAGCGGUGAAAUGCGUAGAUAUCGGGAAGAACACCAGUGGCGAAGGCGCUCUGCUGGGCCAUCACUGACGCUCAUGGACGAAAGCCAGGGGAGCGAAAGGGAUUAGAUACCCCUGUAGUCCUGGCCGUAAACGAUGAACACUAGGUGUCGGGGGAAUCGACCCCCUCGGUGUCGUAGCCAACGCGUUAAGUGUUCCGCCUGGGGGGUACGCACGCAAGUGUGAAACUCAAAGGAAUUGACGGGGGCCCGCACAAGCGGUGGGGUAUGUGGUUUAAUUCGAUGCAACGCGAAGAACCUUACCAGGGUUUGACAUCCUGCGAAUCUCUUGGAAACAGGAGAGUGCCUUCGGGAACGCAGUGACAGGUGGUGCAUGGCUGUCGUCAGCUCGUGCCGUGAGAUGUUGGGUUAAGUCCCGCAACGAGCGCAACCCACGUCUUUAGUUGCCAGCAUUUAGUUGGGCACUCUAGAGAGACUGCCGGUGAUAAACCGGAGGAAGGUGUGGAUGACGUCAAGUCAUCAUGCCCCUUACAUCCUGGGCUACACACGUACUACAAUGCUACGGACAAAGGGCAGCAAGUUCGCGAGGACAAGCAAAUCCCAUAAACCGUGGCUCAGUUCAGAUCGUAGGCUGCAACUCGCCUACGUGAAGGCGGAAUCGCUAGUAAUCGCAGGUCAGCAUACUGCGGUGAAUACGU
rnacentral:rRNA from 1 species